ACAGGGAUAGCUCAGUGGUAGAGUUUGGGCCUGAAAAGCUCACCGCGAAGGUUCAAUUCCUUCUCCCAGCA
rnacentral:tRNA from 1 species